AUUCGAAGCAACGCGAAGAACCUUACCAGGUCUUGACAUCCUCUGACAACCCUAGAGAUAGGGCUUUCCCCUUCGGGGGACAGAGUGACAGGUGGUGCAUGGUUGUCGUCAGCUCGUGUCGUGAGAUGUUGGGUUAAGUCCCGCAACGAGCGCAACCCUUGAUCUUAGUUGCCAGCAUUCAGUUGGGCACUCUAAGAUGACUGCCGGUGACAAACCGGAGGAAGGUGGGGAUGACGUCAAAUCAUCAUGCCCCUUAUGACCUGGGCUACACACGUGCUACAAUGGACGGUACAAAGGGCUGCAAGACCGCGAGGUUUAGCCAAUCCCAUAAAACCGUUCUCAGUUCGGAUUGUAGGCUGCAACUCGCCUACAUGAAGCUGGAAUCGCUAGUAAUCGCGGAUCAGCAUGCCGCGGUGAAUACGUUCCCGGGCCUUGUACACACCGCCCGUCACACCACGAGAGUUUGUAACACCCGAAGUCGGUGAGGUAACCUUUUGGAGCCAGCCGCCUAAGGUGGGACAGAUGAUUGGGGUGAAGUC
rnacentral:rRNA from 1 species